rnacentral:rRNA from 1 species
CUAACACAUGCAAGUCGAGCGGUAACAGAAAGUAGCUUGCUACUUUGCUGACGAGCGGCGGACGGGUGAGUAAUGCUUGGGAACAUGCCUUGAGGUGGGGGACAACAGUUGGAAACGACUGCUAAUACCGCAUAAUGUCUACGGACCAAAGGGGGCUUCGGCUCUCGCCUUUAGAUUGGCCCAAGUGGGAUUAGCUAGUUGGUGAGGUAAUGGCUCACCAAGGCGACGAUCCCUAGCUGGUUUGAGAGGAUGAUCAGCCACACUGGGACUGAGACACGGCCCAGACUCCUACGGGAGGCAGCAGUGGGGAAUAUUGCACAAUGGGCGCAAGCCUGAUGCAGCCAUGCCGCGUGUGUGAAGAAGGCCUUCGGGUUGUAAAGCACUUUCAGUCAGGAGGAAAGGUUAGUAGUUAAUACCUGCUAGCUGUGACGUUACUGACAGAAGAAGCACCGGCUAACUCCGUGCCAGCAGCCGCGGUAAUACGGAGGGUGCGAGCGUUAAUCGGAAUUACUGGGCGUAAAGCGUACGCAGGCGGUUUGUUAAGCGAGAUGUGAAAGCCCCGGGCUCAACCUGGGAACUGCAUUUCGAACUGGCAAACUAGAGUGUGAUAGAGGGUGGUA